rnacentral:rRNA from 1 species
CUCUCUUGAGUGGAUCCUGAGUACGACGGAGCACGUGAAAUUCCGUCGGAAUCUGGGAGGACCAUCUCCUAAGGCUAAAUACUCUCUAGUGACCGAUAGUGAACCAGUACCGUGAGGGAAAGGUGAAAAGCACCCCGGAAGGGGAGUGAAAUAGAACCUGAAACCGUGUGCUUACAAGUAGUCAGAGCCCGUUAAUGGGUGAUGGCGUGCCUUUUGUAGAAUGAACCGGCGAGUUACGAUUUGAUGCAAGGUUAAGCAGUAAAUGUGGAGCCGUAGCGAAAGCGAGUCUGAAUAGGGCGUUUAGUAUUUGGUCGUAGACCCGAAACCAGGUGAUCUACCCUUGGUCAGGUUGAAGUUCAGGUAACACUGAAUGGAGGACCGAACCGACUUACGUUGAAAAGUGAGCGGAUGAACUGAGGGUAGCGGAGAAAUUCCAAUCGAACCUGGAGAUAGCUGGUUCUCUCCGAAAUAGCUUUAGGGCUAGCCUCAAGUGAUGAUUAUUGGAGGUAGAGCACUGUUUGGACGAGGGGCCCCUCUCGGGUUACCGAAUUCAGACAAACUCCGAAUGCCAAUUAAUUUAACUUGGGAGUCAGAACAUGGGUGAUAAGGUCCGUGUUCGAAAGGGAAACAGCCCAGACCACCAGCUAAGGUCCCAAAAUAUAUGUUAAGUGGAAAAGGAUGUGGCGUUGCC